UAGUAGCCACCUGAGCUGAAUAACCUAGGGCAUGUGGCUCAAUAACCAUUUGUUUCACAUUCACUUUAUCAGUUUCAAGCAAGAUAUAGUAGGAAGUGUAAAUAAUAAAUAAUAAACCCCCAAGUCUUUAAAUUUUGUUGGUCUAGUCAAGAGUUCCUAAAAUUCUACUCUUUUAAAAGGGCAGAUUAAUAUUAUAUGACAUUCUAAUAUUUUUGUGCUUGAAAUUGAAUUGAGGACCAACUUUAUGUCUUGAGAAACACAUUCUAAAUAUGAAACUUGUUGAAGUGAACUUUGGUGAAUUAAGUUAUUUCUGCUAUCAUCCUAUUGUAUGACAAUUUGGUUCUUUACUUUGGACAAAAUAAAUUUCAGAUUGGUUGAGGACAGGGCUGUAUUUUAUUAUUUCAUUUUAAUUUUUGUGCUUGAAGACAAGCAAAGGUGCAAGUGUGGGGGAAUCUGAUGAGUUGCAAAACUCAUAAUUUUGUUCCCAUUUAAUUUCAUGAUUUUACUGUAAUUUGGAUAUAAUUAUUUAAUUUUAAUUUGAAUUUAAUUUUGGACAGGUUUGUGAGCAGAAGUUGAGAAAAGGAAGAAAAAAGGCUGAAUUAAAAGAUUUUUUAUACUGGGAGGCUACAACCUUGACCAAACCUGUAACCCAAGGCGACAGGGAGAUAAGAUAGAUUUUGCCACCUAAGCAAGGAUAAGAUCAGCUUCAAGUGGAGUCAAAUUGAAUCAAACUCAAUCAGAUGAGAAUAAAGAUAAGAUUAGGAUAGAUAUAAGAUUAUGAUAGAGAUAAGUUAGGAAUAAUAGAUUUUAUUUUAAAAUUUUAUCUUUUUGUGCUUAUAUAAAGGCUCAUAGCAUUAAACCUAGAGAUCAUAUUCUAUCUCUCACUCUCAUUCCCUCUCUUGCUACCCCCAUCUUCUUCUCCACCAUAUUUUCUUUUUCUUCUACUUUUGCUUGAUUUUUAUAAUUUUAUUAUGGCCAUGAAUGCCUAAACAAUUUAUUUUCAGUUGAAGGUUAAUUUAAAUUGAGGUUUGUUCAAGUUGUGAGGUUAUGCACUUAAUUCUCUUCAUCUUAUUUCUAUUUUUUGUCAAUUUCUGAUUUCGAGGAACACCACCUCCAUUGUUGUUUUCUUGAGAAUUCAAGAGGUCUAUUGAAUCUCUUGGAAAAACAACUUAUAGCUGAUUAAUCUAGUUAAAUCCAUAAUUGUUUAAUUGGGUUAAUAACAG
rnacentral:lncRNA from 1 species